rnacentral:rRNA from 1 species
GAUGAACGCUGGCGGCGUGCCUAACACAUGCAAGUCGAACGAACAAAACGGAGCUUGCCCCGUGGGACCAGUGGCGAACGGGUGAGUAACACGUGAGCAUCCCCCCCCUGACUCAGGGAUAUGCCCUGGAAACGGCGUCUAUAACUGGAGAUGUGAUGUUACCCCAUGUUCUUCGUUUGUAAAAAUCUGUCUGUUGGUGAUGGGUUCGCGGGCCCUCGCCUCGUUGGUUAGGUAAUGGCUCACCAGGUCGCCGACGGGUAGCCGACCUGCGAGGCUGACCGGCCACACUAGGACUGAGAGACGGCCCAGACUCGUACGGGACGCAACGGUGGAGAGUAUGACACAGUGAGCGCGAGCCAGAUACAACGGCGCCGCGUGAGGGAAAACGGCCUUCGAGUUGUAAACCUCUUUUAGCGGAGAAGAAGCGAUAGUGACGGUACCUGCAGAAAAAGCGCCGGCUAACUACGUG